rnacentral:rRNA from 1 species
GACGAACGCUGGCGGCGUGCUUAACACAUGCAAGUCGAACGAAAAGAGGGAAAGAGCUUGCUCUUUCCGGAAUUGAGUGGCAAACGGGUGAGUAACACGUAAACAACCUGCCUUCAGGAUGGGGACAACAGACGGAAACGACUGCUAAUACCGAAUAAGUUCCAAGGGCCGCAUGGCCCAUGGAAGAAAAGGUGGCCUCUACCUGUAAGCUAUCGCCUGAAGAGGGGUUGGCGUCUGAUUAGCUGGUUGGAGGGGUAACGGCCCACCAAGGCGACGAUCAGUAGCCGGUCUGAGAGGAUGAACGGCCACACUGGCACUGAGACACGGUCCAGACUCCUACGGGAGGCAGCAGUGGGGAAUCUUCCGCAAUGGGCGAAAGCCUGACGGAGCAACGCCGCGUGAGUGAUGACGGCCUUCGGGUUGUAAAACUCUGUGAUCCGGGACGAAAAGGCAGAGUGCGAAGAACAAACUGCAUUGACGGUACCGGAAAAGCAAGCCACGGCUAACUACGUG